UUGGUCCUAAAGAGCUUGUGGGUUUGCUGGUGCGGAAAGAGAGAUGUUAUUUUGUUCAGGAUGGUGGUUUGAGAUGGGGAAUCUGGUGUGUUUUGAGCUGACUGGGAGAAGGAUAAUAUUCUGAAGGAUCAAGGAUGACUGGAAUUCCCAAGAAGUAGUAGUAGCAGCCAGCAGCCUGUUUUAUGCUGAGGUUAAUGUUCCCAAAUAAAGGACAAACAAGAGGGAGCAGGUCAUGUCACCUUGCACUGCGCAGGACUUUCAUUUGUGAAAUGCAUAGAAAAUUAAGGAGCCAGCAGUUUUCACAACUAGUUUGCUUGCUUGCCUUCUCUUCCGAUGGCCAUGGUGAAAUGAAAGACCAUGAAGAGAGGGAUUGUAUUUCAUCUCUCUAGCAACUGUCUAAAAUCCUCCUGAAAUGGUUUGCAUGGUUCCCAAGUCACUCUCGUUUGAGGCUUUACACUUUUCUUCCUGCUGCUGUUUUACAUUUCAUUACCUCAAUGCUUUCAGAUAAAAAUAGUUUCUACUCCAGCAAAUUACUGGAAGUGCAAACCAGAUUGUUUCCCUGCUCCUCCUCAGCAUUCAGCACACCGCAGCAGCAAUAUGCCUUUCAUUAGGUGGACCAGGAGCGCUCUGCAUCCUCUGUAAUGGUUUCCACCUCAGAUGAUGGGAUUGAUGCAAUGGCAAUUUCUGUGAGUCCUGUUCCCUGUCGUAACACAAAAUGCACACAUGUGUGGGUACAUCCACACGCUGUUUUUCACUGCCUGCUUCCAAGCUGAUGUGGAAGCUGUGUGAAAAAGAUGAAUGUUAUUUGGCAAUUAGGCCUGGUAAUUACAGGAUGUGUUUUUCCAGAGGUAAAAAAAAAAUAUUGUUUUCACUUGCAGUCUUUGCAAUCUGUUUUGAAUGAGGAAAUGCUCAGGAUUAGAAAGUGUUUUCUCGUUAGAACAAAUGUCACAGAUUUAAAAACCUCGUCAUUUAAAUUCCUCCUAAUGUUCUUUGGCUUGAACAAGUGAGCUCUUAAUGUCCCUUUUAAUUAGAGCGUUUCAGCUGGGCACUUAAUGACAGCACGUCACUGAGUAGUAGACAUGGUCCAACUACGAAGGGGAACUCCAGGGUGGGAACUUGAGCAGAAGCUGUCCCUUUUUUGGCUUUUUUAGAGAAAAGUGCUAAAGGAAGCACAAGAUAUGUCCAGAAAAAUGAUGCCCCACUUGGAGCGGGCAGAAAUAGGGCAUGGUUUGGGAGAUGCUGGCUGCGGGGGCUGGGUGCUGCAAAGGAGUUGAUGUACAUUUUCCUGAGCCACUGUGAGUUUUCCUCUCUUUGCUGCUGUAUCCAUUUGCAAGUCACCAGCACAGGCAGUGGCAGCUCAGCAGGAUUGCUGCCCGCAGGCUUCAGCACCCUGCCCCUGCUGCCAGAGUCCUCCUCUCCCCCAUCCCCUGCUCCCAAGAGUUCUCGUUUCUAUUCAGGUAAAGGUUUGGUUCUUCC